UACAGAGGGUGCGAGCGUUGUUCGGAAUUACUGGGCGUAAAGCGUGCGCAGGCGGUUGUGCAAGACAGAUGUGAAAAUCCCCGGGCUUAACCUGGGAACUGCAUUUGUGACUGCAAGGCUAGAGUGUGUCAGAGGGAGGUGGAAUUCCGCGUGUAGCAGUGAAAUGCGUAGAGAUGCGGAGGAACACCGAUGGCGAAGGCAGCCUCCUGGGGAUAACACUGACGCUCAUGCACCGAAAGCGUGGGGAGCAAACAGGAUUAGAAAACCCGUAGUGAGAUC
rnacentral:rRNA from 1 species